GAUAUCAAUUUCUUAUUUUUCUUCUUCCUUUAAAAUUUUAAUUGACUGCUGCAUAUGAAUAGUGUCAAAAGCCUUGAUCUUCAGCUCCUAGGAGAAGUUGGUGAAGGAAAUAGCUAAUGUGAUUAGAUUUGUUUCAGGUGGUUGUGAAUUUUGGUAAAAUGGAAGUUACAGGGGGCUAAAAGUUAUCAGGUUCUAUGGAAUUGACUGAUAUUUGGGCAGUGUGGGGGCCUUUGCGCAAUUCAUUCAACAUAAUCAGUCUUAGUCUCAACAGAUCCACAGGCAAGAGGUGCUCUGGCAUGGAAUAUGAAUUAGAUUGGACAAAACCCA